rnacentral:rRNA from 1 species
UACGGAGGGUGCAAACGUUGCUCGGAAUCAUUGGGCGUAAAGCGCACGUAGGCGGCCGAUCAAGUCGGGUGUGAAAGCCCUGGGCUCAACCCAGGAAGUGCACUCGAAACUGACCGGCUUGAAUAUGGAAGAGGGUCGCGGAAUUCCCGGUGUAGAGGUGAAAUUCGUAGAUAUCGGGAGGAACACCAGUGGCGAAGGCGGCGACCUGGGCCAAUAUUGACGCUGAGGUGCGAAAGCGUGGGGAGCAAACAGG